rnacentral:rRNA from 1 species
GACGAACGCUGGCGGCGUGCCUAAUACAUGCAAGUCGAGCGGACGAAUCGAAAGCUUGCUUUUGAUUCGUUAGCGGCGGACGGGUGAGUAACACGUGGGCAACCUGCCCUGUAGACGGGGAUAACACCGAGAAAUCGGUGCUAAUACCGGAUAACACGAAAUGUCGCAUGACGUUUCGUUGAAAGACGGCGCAAGCUGUCGCUACAGGAUGGGCCCGCGGCGCAUUAGCUAGUUGGUGAGGUAACGGCUCACCAAGGCGACGAUGCGUAGCCGACCUGAGAGGGUGAUCGGCCACACUGGGACUGAGACACGGCCCAGACUCCUACGGGAGGCAGCAGUAGGGAAUCUUCCGCAAUGGACGAAAGUCUGACUGAGCAACGCCGCGUGAGCGAAGAAGGCCUUCGGGUCGUAAAGCUCUGUUGUUAGGGAAGAACAAGUAACGCAGUAACUGGCGUUACCGUGACGGUACCUAACGAGAAAGCCACGGCUAACUACGUGCCAGCAGCCGCGGUAAUACGUAGGUGGCAAGCGUUGUCCGGAAUUAUUGGGCGUAAAGCGCGCGCAGGCGGUUCCUUAAGUCUGAUGUGAAAGCCCACGGCUCAACCGUGGAGGGUCAUUGGAAACUGGGGGACUUGAGUGCAGAAGAGGAGAGCGGAAUUCCACGUGUAGCGGUGAAAUGCGUAGAGAUGUGGAGGAACACCAGUGGCGAAGGCGGCUCUCUGGUCUGUAACUGACGCUGAGGCGCGAAAGCGUGGGGAGCAAACAGG